AUUGCUUGAACCUGGGAGGUGGAGGUUGCAGUGAGCUGAGAUCACGCCACUGCACUCCAGCCUGGGCGACAGAG
ensembl:miRNA